CCCACAAUGACCAGAGGUCAUUUCAUUACCUUUAACUUAUUUCUGUUCUUUUCAGUGUGAAAAUUGGCUCCCUAUGCUGAGCUACCACGGAUUUCUGACAGUUUCCACCUGUUAAAGAAGUUUGACGGAUCCACUACGUUAUGGACCUUGUUCGUUGUUCUACUAGUUUCGCUUUAAAGAAAGAGGAAGAGGCAGGCACCACAGAG